AGAGCUCACACAUGCCCAUGUGCCGCCAGAAUCCGGGGACCUGCCUGCCCCCCAGCUGCUCACCCAGCCCCUGGCGCCUCCUCUCUCUGCAGCCAGAACGCCCUGGGUGCAGAGCCCCGCAGAGGCCUGCGUGUCUCCGUAAUUAAUUUCACAGACUGAGCGCUCUUUCCUAGCGUGGCCUCGUUACCAGGCUGUGAGGUCCCCCAAUCAGCAAGAAGGUCUUACUCAUGCGUCUCUCUCCAGUGCCUGGCUGAGUGAAUGUGUAACGACAGAGUCAGUAAAUCAAUGAGCCGAUGGACACGCUGGAAUCAGGUGACUCUGGGGAGCGCUUCGGAGGGAAGCAGGACAGAAGGUCAAGGGCCUGGCGACAGAAGGCCACGUGCACAGAGUCCGGGAGUUUGGGUUUUAUUCAAGAGGCAGCACAGGUGCAAGUAGGGGGUGUCACGUGUUGAGUGGAGUGUGUUGGAGACACCCCUCCCUCUCAGUGUGCGCACUGCAAACUCUCAAAUUCCUAACCAACGCCCGGAAUUGUGGGUAUUGUUUGGGCUUGGUUUUCCACUGGGAAAAGGGCUGACCGUGGUGUGAUGGUGAACCCCUCCUCCUGUCAUCUCUCACCUCAGGCCUGGCGUCGGUCUCUGCUGACGGUGCUUGAACUUGGCCGAUGGGAUAUGGUGAAGUAUGGUAUCUAUUUGCUUUGUUUAACAAUGGACAGGUUAUUUUGAUUUUCUAAAUUAUAUAAAUCAUCCCAUUCGAUUGAAUGACUAUCCCAUUGAUUGUUAUCUUACUGGUCUUAGAAAGCACAUUUUUCCUUCACCUGGGAAGGACAGCACAGUUAUCCCAAGGUCAGAGGGCUCUAGACCCAAAACUGUAAUUUAGAUAACAUGCCUAAGUUUAACCCAGGUUACCCAAGGGCUCUAGAUAAUGUAUUUCUGUCAAUUCAGUGACCCCGAGACCCCAAACUAUAAUUAACAUGCUUAAUUCUGCUUCUGUAAACUGCUUUUUGCGAGCCAGGUUCCUCAUUCCAAACCCUGGGAUGUAAUCAAUACCUUUGUGAUUUGUUGCCUAUAUAACCUUGGAGCUGCGACCAUCUUACUCACUAUGAGAUUUGGGAAUGGCCCCUCAUAGUCCCGGACUGCAAUA